UACGGAGGGUGCAAGCGUUAUCCGGAUUCACUGGGUUUAAAGGGUGCGUAGGCGGAAAAGUAAAUCCGUGGUGAAAUCUCCGAGCUUAACUCGGAAACUGCCGUGGAUACUAUUUUUCUUGAAUGUUGUGGAGGUUUGCGGAAUAUGUCAUGUAGCGGUGAAAUGCUUAGAUAUGACAUAGAACACCGAUUGCGAAGGCAGCAGGCUACACAAAUAUUGACGCUGAGGCACGAAAGCGUGGGGAUCAAACAGG
rnacentral:rRNA from 1 species